AACGUAGGAGCCAAGCGUUAUCCGAAUUCACUGGGCGUAAAGCGCGUGCAGGCGGCUGGGUAAGUCAGUGGUGAAAGCCUCCAGCUCAACUGGAGAACUGCCAUUGAUACUGCCGGGCUUGAGUACAGACGAGGUUGGCGGAAUUGAUUGUGUAGCGGUGAAAUGCAUAGAUACAAUCAAGAACUCCGAUUGCGUAGGCAGCUAACUAGGCUGUAACUGACGCUGAGGCACGAAAGCGUGGGGAGCGAACAGG
rnacentral:rRNA from 1 species